rnacentral:rRNA from 1 species
AUUGAACGCUGGCGGCAGGCCUAACCCAUGCAAGUCGAACGAGUGGCGGACGGGUGAGUAAUGUCUGGGAAACUGCCUGAUGGAGGGGGAUAACUACGGGAAACGGUAGCUAAUACCGCAUACCAUCAGAUGUGCCCAGAUGGGAUUAGCUGGUUGGUGGGGUAACUGCUCACCAAGGCGACGAUCCCUAGCUGGGCUGAGAGGAUGACCAGCCACACUGGAACUGAGGAGCGGUCCGGACUCCUACGGGGGGCAGCGGUGGGGAAUAUUGCACAAUGGGCGCAAGCCUGAUACAGCCAUGCCGCGUGUAUGAAGAAGGCCUUCGGGUUGUAAAGUACUUUCAGCGGGGAGGCGUUACCCGCCGAAGAAGCACCGGCUAACUCCGUGCCAGCAGCCGCGGUAAUUC